UACGGGGGGGGCAAGCGUUGUUCGGAAUUACUGGGCGUAAAGGGCUCGUAGGCGGCCAACUAAGUCAGACGUGAAAUCCCUCGGCUUAACCGGGGAACUGCAUCUGAUACUGGAUGGCUUGAGAUUGGGAGAGGGAUGCGGAAUUCCAGGUGUAGCGGUGAAAUUCGUAGAUAUUGGGAAGAACACCGGUGGCGAAGGCGGCGACCUGGUCCGUGACUGACGCUGAGGCGCGAAAGCGUGGGGAGCAAACAGG
rnacentral:rRNA from 1 species